rnacentral:lncRNA from 1 species
UUCCCCCAAGGAAGGUGCGGUAUGCAGGUAGACUACUAGUAACAAAGCUGCAGACGCCGCAGUCUAUUUAUGCCCCAGUCUAUUUACGUGGUGGCUGGGCCAAACGCAAGUUCUAGGAUGCCCAGGAGGGGCGGGAAAGGCGAACCUCCGAAAUGCUGGCGGGAUCUGUGGAGGAGCAGGCGCGGGGAGCAGACACUACAGGACUAUUGAGCGAUGUCGCAUCUCACUCCCGCCAGCGCAAGCCUCGGUAGUAAGAUUUCUGUAGUCCCUUUGGUACAUGUUUUUGCGGAAACAUUCAAACUUUGCUCCACCUGCAGUGUAGGUGUCCAGCUACCUCCAAGAAUCCUGCGUAUUUCUUCUCAAAUGUUCCUCAGGUGUACAAAUGCUGAAUUUCCCAAACCUAACGACCGUUUCCCUCCCAAAUUAUUUCCCAGACCAUGCGCGCCUCUUAAUACAACCAACUUGGAAACUUUAAUGUCUAAAUUGGAUGCCCUUUGUUUCUAUCAGUGGCCAAGUUCUGUCGAUUCUAAUCCUGCAUUAAAUCCAGCAUCUGUCCGAUCGCCCUACCCACUGCCUACACCUAACCAAAGUUCUUACUGUUAUUCCUUGGUUGACAGGAAUGAAGUACUUCUCAUUGAUGCCCUUUGUCUUAACAUCACCCCCUGCCAACCUAUAGAUUUAGUUGCCUUCAAGCAUGGCUGUGAUGUAAAAUUAUUCAUUGCUCCGUUUUGCCUGUAGACUAAAAGCCAAAUUUGUUAACUUGGAUUUAAAACACUAUUUUCUUCUCUUCCCUUUUUAUUCUCUCCCUGCACAUGGUAAAACAGAUCAUAUGAAGUAUUUCAUGCAUGAACCAGGGAAGAUUCCAAUUCGUUGAACCUGGGAAAUUGGAACUGAAAAGGGAUAUCCAUAGGGUAAGUUUUGCAGCAGAAAUGAGCUCAGAGAUCA